UACGUAGGUGGCGAGCGUUGUCCGGAAUUAUUGGGCGUAAAGGGAGCGCAGGCGGGAAGGCAAGUCAGUCUUAAAAGUGCGGGGCUCAACCCCGUGAUGGGAUUGAAACUGUCUUUCUUGAGUGCAGGAGAGGAAAGCGGAAUUCCUAGUGUAGCGGUGAAAUGCGUAGAUAUUAGGAGGAACACCAGUGGCGAAGGCGGCUUUCUGGACUGUAACUGACGCUGAGGCUCGAAAGCGUGGGGAGCGAACA
rnacentral:rRNA from 1 species